CGUCACAGACGUUUUCAUUGUGCCAUGAGCUUUAAUCAUGUGCAUCGCAUCAUUACUGAUAAUGUUAAUUAGAAACUUCAAAACAUUGGCCGGACAGCAAAUGUUAACAUAGUCAAUUACUGUAUCCCCUUGAUGGUCGUUGAGGUUAAUUGCUUUUGUAGUGGGCUGUUUAAGACCAAUGAUGUGUUAGUAUAAAGCAUGCUAUAUCCGUGGUCUAUGGCUUUGUCCUUGCCGUCUCUUUCUAGAUAAUAAGCAAUUACUCAGCCAUACCAAUGUAAAUUACCACAGGCAAUAGAUACAUUUUAUAAUUAAGUCACUACAGUAAGAGAGAUUAAGUCAACACCCUGGACCAGUACAAAUGUAAACGGCUCCACCAAAAUCUUUUUGACACUGCUGGUAGGUAAUAUUCUAUUUGAGCUUCAGAAAGGUGUCUGCGGCCUGGUUGGUAUCUCCACCUUGUCCUUGUGAGCCCUCACAAGCCCUGCAUUAACUUACCAUCUGGGGAUUUGAAUUCGUUCCUCGCUAAGGUAAGAAAAUGUGCCUUUGUUGACUAGAAACAUUUUUAACCAGGUCUAAGGAGUUUCCUGUCUCUUUAAACCCGUAACCUUCCAUAACUAAAGGUGAGCUCAUUUCUAGCUAAUUUAGUUGCUCGAAGCUAGUCAACAUAGUUCCUCUAUGGCGGCAGGUUCUAGUAGCUAUAAUGUAUCACUGACGCCAAUCCUUCACUGGUUUUCCCUAGAGUGAAGAGAACAUAAUCAUGCCAUUUAUAUAAAUGUAUCACGGAUUACCACAACUUUACCGCUUGGCAGAGUAACCUAACUACGAUAGUCACCUCUCAGGCCGCAAUGAAUGACCAUCAAUGGUUUACUAAUUCGCCCAAAUGAUUAAAUACAAAAUGUUGCACAGGAAGAACGUUCGGUAUAAUAAUAGUCACAGCACCGGACGACCACAAUUGACUGUUGAAUGUUCAAAAGCUAUCCGUAGCGUAUGUCAGCAACGGUAUGUCGGGAUGUAGAUAAAGCUGCACCAACCCAAAAAGGCCAGAAGAGGGC
ensembl:lncRNA